rnacentral:lncRNA from 1 species
AAAUUUUGGUUUGAAAAGACGAAGUUGCCUCGUGAGCUUGGACCAUAAAGUACGUAGAGUUUCAAUCUAGCAUAAACCAGGUGAUUUAUUUAAGUCUUUUUAGCUGUUUAAGUUUCUUUUCUUUUUCUCUGCGUUUUUUCUUUAACUAAAUGGGAAUUCACUCCAACAAAAAUAACAAUAGACGACUGAGAAAAGGCAAGGAACUUAACCAAUAUCUCUAGCAUUUCCUUCUUUUCCCUGAUUCUUUCGAUCGAGGAUUCAAUUAAAGAAAAUAUUCAACCGAAAAAAGAAAAUUAAGAUGAGAAUAUGCAUCCUACUAGCUAUAUAUAUGGAGUGCAUGCAAUGUGCUGAUGGAGCUUAAUCAUUCAAGUUAGAUUGAGUGGUGUAGUUAUCUAAGUCAUGUUGUUGAAAAGGGAAGACUCAUAUUUUUUUUUAGUAAAGCAAGAUCACGAAUCUUUAAUUGUCGGAAACUUUAAAAAUUGUGAUUUGAACUAAAUAGGCACGUGAACAUAGAAAACAUAGCUAGCCAAAGGUUGAGUGACAAGUUAUAGGUACUUCACGUUCUUUUCAUGCCAGCUUUGUCUCGAUGUAUAUAUGAAAGUGAGGUUAAGUUGAUGUUUCCGGAUGGAAAUUGUGUUGUGUUAUUCUCUCUCCCAAUCGCUCAUCUACCAUCUCCCUCUUCUCUUUUUCUUCUAGGUGUUUGAUUUGGUUUGUGUGAAGUGAAAUCUGAUAUGUUCAAUUAUUACUUUUAAUUAGGAGUGUUAUCACGAUUUGGUGCAUAAUGAUGCGAGCCAUUUAGAUCAACAGCUCAAACGAUGCGAGCCAUUUAAAUCAACGGCUCAAACGCUCCACGCACCUAAUUGAAUGCUAGUACUUGCCUUGAUUUUCAUUUGUGUGCUACAAAACCUGUUCCAUUUGUUGUGACACUUCAGGGAGAAGAGAUUUCACCAUUACUCUGUGUGAAUUGUCAAAUCAUGCUUUUCCUCUUGUCUCACUCCCCUCGUACCCAGCAGAACACAUUUGCCAUUUUGCAUUGGAGCUUCAUUUGUUCUUGUCACAAAAAUUAUCGUCACCAAUUAUUCUGAAAUUUGACAGAGAACAGUUUAAUAUAUGCCUGAGUGAAAACGAUGCCUUUGAGACUUUUCCCUUCCUUGAGGGCCAGCAUUUUCCAUGUACACAACAACUAGUGCAAUAUAUUCUUGAGCAUGUGAAUGUCUCAUUUGAAGUACAAAAACUUAUGACACUCUCAUGUGGUAGCAUUUAAAGAGACAGCAAAAGGCCUCCUGUGAUCUGACUUCUGGGCAGUCUCUCUGCAAUGCAACAUCUCUAUUUUCUCUCCCUCUUUUGUUUUUUUUUUUCCUUUCAAAUUUCAACCACUCUUCUAGAAUAAUCGGCUGCACUGGUUCAUUUUUUUCUCGUCGACCAAAAGUUGCAGGCGAAAUAAAGAUUGUGGGAGUUGACGCAAACAGCACAUAAAUACUGAUUUGAUGUGUCCCAGUUACUUUUAAUUUUUUAUUAAUGUCAUGGCAACUCAAUCUCAAUCUCAAUGGAAGUCAUCUCAUAUAUAGCCGGUGAUGAUUUUUCCACACACAACAGUUCACAGCACAUCACAAGGAAGGAACUGCCGUUUUGGACUUUUUAAUACAAUCAUUAAAUUUUGCAGAUAUUAUUUUUACCUUAUCAUUUCCCUUUUCUAAAUUGAAACAAUAGCUAGCACAAUCUCACCUCAUGCCUCAAAUCAACUUGUUUACUGGUGUAUGUAUUGAUAAUACAAGGUACAGAAAACAUAUGCAUGUACAGAAAACACACACAGCAACAGCAAUACAUGCGCAUGCAACAGUUAAUACAAGGUAGGUUUGGAAAGUCAUCUAGUCUGAUGAGGAGCACAUGUUUCUCUCAUGAAACAGGUUUAAUUUGUCAUGCUUGCCAAGACUUACAUAAAACUCUCUCUCUCUCUCUCUCUCUCUCUCUCUCUCUCUCUCACACACACACACAUAGAAAGAACAAAUUAAAACUGCUAGCUAAGCUAUGUACCAUUACCACAUGCAGUUCCUCAAAAUAUUUGAGCUGUGGGGUACAAUGUCACAAGUAGAAUUUAUUUUUUGCUGCAAAUUUGGCUAAUCUUUUUAUUUCGCUUGAAGAUUUGGUCCUCCCUCACAAGACUAGUUAGCUUCAUAUCCAUCAUUUCAAUGUCGUCAUAUUUUUCCAUUGCACUAAAUUAUGAAUGAUGUCUAAGCGGACGUUUUCAUCAUUGACUUUCAUGUUCACUUUGGCAGGCUAUCAUGUUUAUUAGAUCUCAUGGCAUAUCUGAUAUAAACUAAAUUAAUAAUUGAACCUUUCACUAUCCAACUAGGACGGCAGGAUAUAUACGUAUGGUGUACGUAUUUCGGACGGUGUUGAUUUGGGGCCUAUGCUUCUCACCAUCUUUGAUCCCAUUUGCCAUGGCCAAUUGCCAUGCCUUUUCUGUUAUGGGGUUGUUCUAU